GGAGAGAUGGCUGAGUGGACGAAAGCGACGGUCUUGAAAACCGUUGUGGCGGCAACGUCACCGUGGGUUCGAAUCCCACUCUCUCCGCCA
rnacentral:tRNA from 2 species